UACGUAGGGAGCAAGCGUUGUCCGGAAUCAUUGGGCGUAAAGCGCGCGUAGGCGGCCCGGUAAGUCCGUUGUGAAAGUCAAAGGCUCAACCUUUGAAAGCCGAUGGAUACUGCCGGGCUAGAGUCCGGAAGAGGCGAGUGGAAUUCCUGGUGUAGCGGUGGAAUGCGCAGAUAUCAGGAGGAACACCGGUGGCGAAGGCGGUUCUCUGGGCAUUACCUGACGCUGAGGAGCGAAAGUGUGGGGAGCGAACAGG
rnacentral:rRNA from 1 species